GUCCCUAUCUACCGUGGGCGCUGGAAAUUUGAGAGGAUCUGCUCCUAGUACGAGAGGACCAGAGUGGACGAACCUCUGGUGUACCGGUUGUGACGCCAGUCGCAUCGCCGGGUAGCUAUGUUCGGAAGGGAUAACCGCUGAAAGCAUCUAAGCGGGAAGCCUACCUCAAGAUAAGAUUUCCCUAGGACUUUAUGUCCUCUAAAGAGCCGUUCGAGACUAGGACGUUGAUAGGUUGGAUGUGGAAGCAUAGUGAUAUGUGAAGCUGACCAAUACUAAUUGCUCGUGAGGCUUGACUAUACAACACCCAAGCAGUUG
rnacentral:rRNA from 2 species